GACGUAGGGCGCGAGCGUUGUCCGGAUUUAUUGGGCGUAAAGAGCUCGUAGGCGGCUGUUCGAGUCGGGUGUGAAAUCCUGAGGCUUAACCUUGGGUCUGCAUUCGAUACUGGGCGGCUUGAGUCUGGUAGGGGGAUCUGGAAUUCCUGGUGUAGCGGUGGAAUGCGCAGAUAUCAGGAGGAACACCGGUGACGAAGGCGGAUCUCUGGGCCAUUACUGACGCUGAGGAGCGAAAGCGUGGGGAGCGAACAGG
rnacentral:rRNA from 1 species